GAAAACACAAUGAACGGGAGCAGUAAAAGAUCGGCAUUGGCAAAGAGAGCUGCGGGUAGGUGAGACGCAGACCAAUGAACCUUUGAACUCGCCCGGGAGUGGACUGGCUAAAGGACGGACAUCAAUUCCUGAGGACUUUACGAUUAACCUUCGUUAACAGGUUUGCACAGCAUGGCUGUGCUUCGCAAAGCUGGAUUCUUGGUAUAGGAUCAAAAAGAGUGGUACCGCGGUAAGCUUCAAAGCUCAUCGUCUCUUUA
rnacentral:ncRNA from 1 species